rnacentral:rRNA from 1 species
AUUGAACGCUGGCGGCAGGCUUAACACAUGCAAGUCGAACGGGGUGAUGGUGCUUGCACUAUCACUUAGCGGCGGACGGGUGAGUAAUGCUUAGGAAUCUGCCUAUUAGUGGGGGACAACAUCUCGAAAGGGAUGCUAAUACCGCAUACGUCCUACGGGAGAAAGCAGGGGAUCACUUGUGACCUUGCGCUAAUAGAUGAGCCUAAGUCGGAUUGGCUAGUUGGUGGGGUAAAGGCCUACCCAGGCGACGAUCUGUAGCGGGGCUGAGAGGAGUAUCCGCACCCCUGGGACUGGGACACGGCCCGGACUCCUACGGGAGGCAGCAGUGGGGAAUAUUGGACAAUGGGGGGAACCCUGAUCCAGCCAUGCCGCGGGUGUGAAGAAGGCCUUAUGGUUGUAAAGCACUUUAAGCGAGGAGGAGGCUCUUUUGGUUAAUACCCAAGAUGAGUGGACGUUACUCGCAGAAUAAGCACCGGCUAACUCUGUGCCAGCAGCCGCCGUAA